GGCGGCGCGGCUGCCGCCUCGGGGCGCUAGUGGGGAGCGGGUGGGGGGCGUGGCCUGGGCGCGGGUGGGCGUGGCCUGGGCGCGGGUGGGCGUGGCCUGGGCAGGGUUGGAUUCUGCCUUGGGGUCGGGGCGCUGGGCGCUGGGGCUGCGGGGGCCGGGGGCUGCUCCUGAGGGGCUCUGGGGGCCAGGCAGGGACGUGUCGCCAGCAGGCUCCCUGCAGAGCCCCCACGCACCGCUCACACCGCAGAAUGGGCGAGAAACCCUCCCCAAAACGCUCCUGGUAGGGGUAAAGCAGGGGCAGCCGCGCCCAGGGUGCUGUGGCGGGGCCUCGUGUGUGCCAGCCGUAGGCACGGCCUCAGGCACCCGCUCCCUGAACGUCACCGGCCCUGCCCUGCCCUGCCCGGCUGCGUGGUUUUGGGGCCUCGGCGGAUUUGUCGUGUGGGGAAAGGUGUCUGAACAAGCCAGUGCUUUGGAAGGCUUCUCUCCUGUGUCUGCUUGGAGUCAUUCCCAUGUGAAAUCCCCGCAUGAGUCACAGCAGCCGCUGGAUCACAGACACUCCUUACUUUCCAGAGGCUUUUCCACCGUCCUGUGGUCUGUGCUGCUAGCUGAUUUAAUGACGAUGAGUAACCUCUGUCAUUCCACACGCUCGUAUCAAAGUUAGCCUACCUCAUGCUUCAGGGCAUCAGCUGACUGCCAGAAGGAGCAGGAGGAGAGCUCUGCACACACCUGCAGUGUCUCGUAAUUCAAGUGUUGAGUUUCUCAAAACAAAGCUCAGAUCCUAGUGGCCCUCCGAAACUGCCAAGGUAUCAGAAACUCUGGUAGCACAGACUGUUCUGUAGGCAAACAGCAGGAGAGAGGGAAUUACAAGUAGAGUCAAACGAGGAAAGGGAAAAAACAGUGAAAACGUGCAGGCAUUUUGAAGGUGGUAGCUAACGAAAGUGAGACAGAUACUGGCGGGAGAAUAGGAUGUCUGUAACUCCUGGACAUGAUAUCAGGGUAAAUGGCACUCAGAUAGAUGUAGGUCAAUUUCUUGGUUUUGUAAGCCAACUGGGAAAACUCUUUAUAAACUACAGACGUUUUUUCUGAACAGCUCUUGGUGCUCCCCUCCUGUGUUGUGGCAGGAGCCAGAAGUACCCCAGGUGAGACGCAAACACUGGCCUAAAUAAAGGAUCAAUUACCACCAACUGCACGCACCCCAUGCAGAGGGGCAAAACCAGCCAUUUCACCCCAAAAUGCUGCCUUUAAAUGUGCCAUUGAGGCAUCUAGGUGUCUUAUUUAGGAGAAACAUUUUUGAAAACUGGGGCUACACAUGAAUUCAGAAAAACAAAACUUCCUUGCAGGAGAUCCAGGAGAAUUAUCUGGAAAGAGCUCAAGCUGAGGUGUGAGCUCUAACCUUGCCAAGCUCCAAAGCUCCUGGCAAUGUUAGACCCUGCUGUUCCGCCCUGACACCCUCCUCGUAGCCCAGGUUUGGAUUUUUUUCAAUUUCUAUCCUUCUCUGACAAGCUAAAAUAAAACUUAUGAGCAUGUCUCUGUCUGUUACAAAGCUACCUCGUGUCUUUGUUACAAAAACACCCGAUAUAAGUUCAGCGAUGAUAACAUCUGUAAAUGACAAACCAGCCAACGCAGAGAAGAUCAGAGAUGAGCCGCGCUUCACCUGCUGCUCAGGUGAAUUACCCAGCACUUAAUGCGCCAUGGCAGAUUUGCCACGUGAAGCACGAGGCACCUCAAUCUGAUUAUACAAGCUUGUAAAGGGCAGACAGUCCUGGGCUUUAAUGACAAAACCCUCACUUGUGGAGAACAAACAGACUUUUACGGUCCCUGAUACAGUCCUGAAGUUAUUUGUGUGAAUUUGUGAGUCAGGAAAGCAAUGGGCUUGGACAGCGGGGCAGAGCAGCAGAGAGAGGGCUGGCAGAAGCCUUGCGGGCUCCCUGCCUUCCCACUAAUUUCUGGUUCCCUGUGUUAUUCCUGACCUGUUCCGCACAGGGCAAGGUCUGAUCAGAAUUAAACGUUGUUUUCUGGUUCUCCUUGUGAAGUCCCUGUCAGUAACUUUCACUCUCACCAGACGUGUUCACAGCUAAGACGACAAUUCUUGUUGCUUUCUCUUGUGGAAAGCGCUGCAGGUGGAAUCCCCCCUGUUUUAAAGAUCACAUUUCCUACGUGGUUGCCCCUUCUUCACACAUCAGAAGUUAAUCAUGCAACACAAAAGGCAUGUGCCUAGGUCUUAGGCGCAUUUUGCUGACGGCCUGGAAGAGAAGGACUCAUUAUGGCAUCCUUGCACAAGCUUGGCUGUCAGCUACCUUUUCUGCUGCAUAACUUUGAUUUUUCCUAAACUGCAUCUACUGCUUUCUACAUUUUUUUGUUGUUAUACUUCACUGGUAGGUGUUAAUUCGCUUCUCCAAAAGGAGGCAACCAAUACUGUCUGUGUGUUUUGUUGUUGGCUUCUUUAACUCUCUCCUUCACUAGGAUGAAAUAAAUGUUCAUUUUCUCUUCGAAAGAACAUUAAACAUUUUUCAAAGGAAAGCACGAGUGUUACUUGUUUCACUUUGCAGACAAGAAGCACAAAAUUAGAAACAUUUGGUGGGAUUUUCAUUCACUGAAAACUACUUAAAUCCAAGAGGAAUUGUAGAAACUCAGGAGUGCUCUGUGUUUCAGAAGGUGGGAUAAGACAGCUGUGUCAGGCUGGCAGAGAUCACCAGUUUUUAAAACUUGGACAAGAGCUCAAGAAUUAGUGUCUUCCAUGUCUGUACUAAAACUACCAGGAUGUGCUUAUUAGAUGACUAUAUGAAUUUUAUACCACAUCCUGCCCUCCUAUAAGAAAUGUUUUGUUUUGUUUUGUAAAGCCAUAUGGAAGGAGACCCUUCCAGUAAAGGCACAGUGAUAUUUCCUUGAGUUAAAUUCAGCUCAGUUUCCUCUGUCCUUUCUUCCUAUUUUCUAAUUUAGGAUUAUCGUUAGAAAAAGCAGAAACACACUGACAGAAAAGAUCAGCGGGUAUCACAUUUGAGAUGUAAGGAGAGAUGAAAAAAACAUUUAAUGUCACCUUUGCGUAUGUUUGUAUGUGAUUUCUGCAGCAUAUUUCUAUGACCAGCCACGUCAGAAGUGCAGCUCGAUGUGGCUAUGUGUCCUUGCACCUGAGGUAUGAUAUAGCACGUUACAAGUGCUUGCUUUUCAGUCAUAUUUUACCUCACGCCUUAUGCCUACAGAACAUAACCAGCGUGUCACUGUGCAGUUACUUGAGAGCCCAGAUCUGCUGUUUUGACCAACAUGUAUGACAUAAGACUUGUCUGAAUAGUUCUGAAAAUUUGUGUUAAUAAUCAAAGUAAUACAAAAGAGAACUACGUUUUUGCCAGUUAUCCCAUGGACCACAUCUUGUCAGUGUAAUCCCGUGUUGGCAGUGUUGUGUCACCUCUCACUAUGUUGGUUUACAUGACAGUGUGUUUGUAGGCUAAUUUUUUCAAAUUGAUUGGCAGAGUAAUUGUGCUGAGGGAUGGAUCACACGAGGAGCGGGAUUUUCAAUCCUUGCGUGCCCUCAGUAUAUUACUUGCUCUACCCAUCACAUGAAGGCCCAUUAACUUUUAGGAAAACUUCACUAUUAAAUAUGUUCAAAGGGCCAAGCCCCACUCAAGGCCAGAAGCAGUGUUCAUUCAGCCUGGUUCCACGGCCCGGCAGCACAGCAAAGCUCUCCUCAGAGGAUCCGAGCAGCGCGCACCGAGCUGUUGAGGCCAUCUCCACAAAACCACCCGAGCCGUUCAGACCGUUUUAUUACAAAACCAUUUUAAUUCUGCGUCAAGAACAAACGCCCCUUCGCUAACCAAGCUUCCCCCUGCCCCUUAUGACCGAGGGCUGACCACGCCGGGGGCCGCUCCCCGGGCUCCCCUCAGCCCCUCGCAGCCGCCAUGGGGCCGCUUCCCGCCAUUUCCUGUCAGGCUCCGCGGCCGGGCGGGGCUCCCCCCUGAGGGCGGGCACGGGACGGCC